rnacentral:rRNA from 1 species
AAUGAACGCUGGCGGCAGGCCUAACACAUGCAAGUCGAGCGAAGUCUUCGGACUUAGCGGCGGACGGGUGAGUAACGCGUGGAACAUACCCUUUGGUACGGAAUAGCCGUCGGGAAACUGGGAGUAAUACCGUAUGUGCCCUUCGGGGGAAAGAUUUAUCGGCCAAAGGAUUGGCCCGCGUUGGAUUAGGUAGUGUGGGUAAUGGCCUACCAAGCCGACGAUCCAUAGCUGGUUUGAGAGGAUGAUCAGCCACACUGGGACUGAGACACGGCCCAGAUUCC